AACGCUUUGUUAUUAGACAUCAGUGUGCUGUUACCGACAGAGCGAAACUGCCUUUGCUUCUGGAGGGCCUCUCUGCUCCGGCUGGAGAAAACUGGAGAAGGAGGAACCACCGUGGACGUGGGCUGGGGAGGGGGCAGGGUGUCAGCGAUGGAAACGGCUCCUGCGGAGGAAGCAAGAUGAUGGCAGGCGAGCGGCCCAGGGAGGCAAGCCGAGGGAGAGCGGAGGCACCAGUUCCUGAGCAUUUCCUAGAAAACUACUCUUCGGUUUUCUGUCAAAACAGAGAGUAGCAGUGGAGGGACCAGCCCCAGAGGACCUCUUCGGCGAAAGAAACUCUGACUUUGGGAGUUGCCCCAUUGGGAGGACGGUCGCGCAACCCGUGGAGAGGCCCACACGGGUGGAUAGGAAGUGCUUCUGCCUCCUGCCAACAGCCUCUCGAGCAGGACUGGGAGCAGGUCCUCCACUGCCAGCUGAAUCUUGACGUGACUGCAGCAGCAGCCAACAGCUUGACCCGCCUUGAGCCCCAGGCGCUCAGGUCAGCCACACCUAGACUCCCAACCCACAAGAGCUCUGAGGACUGUGCUGUCUGCUCACUUUUGCCAGAUUACUGCUACAUCCAACUCCAGCUCCAAGUUCGUGAAUUCAAGCGAUAGCUCUGCUGAUAAAUUCUUCAGUGGGUUUCACGUACCGUCUUUCUUCCAGCCUCCACAUACGGUACUCGGUACUCGUGUUGGAUUGUCUUCUCUUAACAUUGUUUAACCAUCUGUUAACCCAGCCUCCUGCCCAAGGGGCUUCGUGGGGAGGAAUGAUUUGAAGUUUCUGCUGAAGUGCUUUACAGUUGGGGAUAGUCCAUUAAUUGUUGAUUUUGUUUGUAUUCAGCAUUCUGCUUCUAUCUGUGGUUUUAAUUGAUGUGAACGUGCCCAGAGGCUUGUGCUGGACCCAGCUGUAUAAAUCAAAUAAAGAAAUAAAGAAAUAAAGAAAAAAAUGAAGUAAA